rnacentral:rRNA from 1 species
UAGUAACGGCGAGUGAAGAGGGAAAAGCUCAAAUUUUGAAUCUGGUGUCUUUGACUCCCGAGUUGUAAUCUAGAGAAGUGUUUUCUGCGUUGGACCGUGCAAAAGUUCCCUGGAACGGGGCGUCAUAGAGGGUGAGAAUCCCGUAUAUGGCACGGACUACCAUUGCUAUGUGAUACACUCUCAACGAGUCGAGUUGUUUGGGAAUGCAGCUCAAAAUGGGUGGUAAAUUCCAUCUAAAGCUAAAUAUUGGCGAGAGACCGAUAGCGAACAAGUACCGUGAGGGAAAGAUGAAAAGCACUUUGGAAAGAGAGUGAAACAGUACGUGAAAUUGUUGAAAGGGAAA